UCUUACUGGAUAUGGAUUGAGGUUAUCAGAUUCCUUGAAUCGAUCUAUUAUUAUCCGAUCCUUCUUUAAGAGUUAGAUAGAAGUGUAUGCAUAAUCGCACAACGAUUGAGGUCGUUAUAUCUCAAAUAGAUGAUGAAGAAGAUGGUGGUAGGCUAUGGUUAUCUACUUUAUAGGAUUUCUUAGAUCUUUAUAAUAAUAAUCAUAGCAAUGCCCAUCAGAGGCGAUUCAUGGAAUAAGAAGAAGAAGAAGAAGAAGAAGAAGGAUCUAGAAAGAAAGGUUGGCCGAGACACAAGCCCAACAAAUGACAUUGCUUGCAAAUGCAUCCUUGUUGGUUGAUGACUUAUUAUUAUUGAACAAGGACCAACAAUCCUCUUGGACUUCAGCAGCAGGUAUCUGUUAUGAUAUUCGUUUAUAGGGUAUCUCAUUUCUUGUUUUACCUUUGUUAUACUCUUAUUAUCGUUGUGCUAGAUAUCGUGUAGUUUGGUUUUCACAUCAUCUCAGGACCUUAGGAAUUCUUUGUUUUCUCCACUGAGGGAUUACCUAAACUUGUUUCUUUUUUGAUAUUUCAUCUCAGAACCUUGGGAA